rnacentral:lncRNA from 1 species
CUCACCUUAUCCUUCCCAAGGUUGCUAGGCUAAAACUCAAGUCAAAAUAGAAACUGUUUGAAUCCCACUUCAGUGUGCCCCUAAUUUUGGUACCCAAUAUGAACAUAUCACAAUAGAGUCCAGACAACUACAGUCAGUUGCUGAACCAUUUAUAAGCAAUGAGACAUAAAGAUAUGGCUCAGAAGUAGCCAUCUUACUUUAUAUGUAACAUAAUAUAUCAUGGUUGGUUGGCUAUGUCCUGGCUCUAAUUCACUUCAAUUUUGUAGAAAAUUAUUGAGAUACAAUUAUUAGAGAGGGAAAUAAAGCAGAAGAUGCCAAGAUGCCAAAAUGCACCUAUGAAAAUUAACUUCCUAGAGUUUUACAAGAUGAGAUACAAAUCAGGCCACUGAGUCAUUUGAUUCUUAGCUCAACUUGCAUUGGGGAGCCAAUGGAACAAAAUAAAGAAAGAAACAACUCUACUUUCUUGAAGAUAAGAAGGCCACCACGUCCAUUUUGGACAGAUCUAGACAUUCAUCUUUUCUAUAUGUCAUAGAGCUAACUGGACCGGUGCACCUUUUGGUUAUCAGGAAUCUGAAAGAUAAUAAUGGAAAGAUAGGACUGAACCUUAGCUUUUUUGAAGAUAUUGAACCAACAGUUUAAAAAAGAGGAAAUAAUUCACAAAGCGUAAACAGUUUUUUCAUGCUCCUGAUGAAACAACAUUAAUAUGCAACUCACUUCCCGACCAUAAACUAUACUCAAAAGGGGUGACAGAGAUGAUUGUUGAUGUUCAGGUUUCUUUACUAGUACAUUAUUGUGCUCCCAAGCAUUGCAUAAUAGAGUUAUUAGUGUCUUCAGUUUUGUCCUGUAAACAGUCGAUAUAAAAAAUUCCUCCACUAAUUAUACAAUUUAAUGUCAAAAGGAAUCAAGUUUCAUCAUACGGUGAGACUACACCAACUUGUAAUCACUAUCUAUAAUUAUAUAUUGUCUCACUUCCCCAUUUCCUAUAAUGAAGCAAUAUUUAAAUACUGAACUUCUCUUAGACUGAGUAGAGGUUAACUAGUAAAGAAUUGGCGAACAAUAAUUAACUCAAGGGGGGAGAACAAGAAUCAGUUCAAAGAUAACUGUGAGCCUGUGACUACAACCUCUUCCAAAUUGGUUUAAUUUUAAACACUUCCCUUCAAGAAAACACCCUCUUUUAGAUACAUCUUGUUCAACACAAAGGAAUCUCAAGUAAUGGCAUCAUAUUUCAAAUUCAACUACAAAACCACAAAUAUGAAGACAACCGCAAAGAAUCAAAAUCUUCCAAACCUAAAAAGUAUCAAAUGAGAAGGCAUGCUUCUUGAAUGCAAAUAGAACUUACAAAAUUCCACAAGUUAGCAAAAUCAAUCACAACCAAACAAAAAGCAUUCUAUUCUUCACUAGUGAAAUGCCACAACAAUCAUAGCUUUAAGAACAGAAAGAAAUUACUGAAGAUAGUUUCAAAGCACAUAAUAUGAAACUCCUACAAUAGAAAGAGUUUAGGCGAAUUGAAGACGCACAAUGUAUAGCAGAAACAAGCUUCUCAGGAAUUGAUCAAUGAUGAAUAAUUAGGUGUAUUGUCUUCAAGCUGAUGAUCAAUUUAGUCCUAGAAAUCUGCUUUUUUAAUCCCAAGUUCAGAUUUUUCUCAUGUCAGAAGUGAAUCUAUUACUUUAUUCCACACAAAUAAUCCAUUACUUUAAGUCACAAUUCAAACACAGUUAUAUAUCUAACUGAAAUACAUAAAUUAUAGACGUCGAGAGACAGAUAGUGGCGAUUCCUACCAGUAUAUGGAGAAGAAGGGCGCCAACGAGGAUUCUCCAUCGAAGAGACGAAGCAGCAUUGCCCUAGUAGGAGUAUAUUUUAGUUUACUAGUAUUUUCAUUUAAGUACGGCAAAAUUUGUAGUCGAUUUUCAAAGAACCUUUUCAAUUACUCCAUCUCCGUCCCACAAGGAUGACUAAUGGUGUUUUAUUUUUUG